CGAAAAUAUUUCCGGGAGAAGUUUUGCUCACGCAAACAGCUGCACAAUGAAGCCGCUUCGGAUCGCUGGGCUCCUUAUCGCGUUUAUGGCUUAUGGCUUGCAGAUUUCCCAAGCACAAGACACAUACACCUACGCAAUUGACGGUGGUGGCCUCUCGGGAAAUAUAAUAGAAGACCGACCGACGGGCCCACGUGGAGAACGCACUUUCGUAGAUGAAAACUC
rnacentral:lncRNA from 1 species